rnacentral:tRNA from 1 species
GAGGGCACAGCUCAGUGGUAGAGCACAUGCUUAGCACGCAUGAGGUCCUGGGUUCAAUCCCCUGCACCUCCA